rnacentral:rRNA from 1 species
UACGGAGGGGGCGAGCGUUAUUCGGAAUCAUUGGGCGUAAAGGGCGCGUAGGCGGCCGGGCAAGUCAGGGGUGAAAUCCCUCGGCUCAACCGAGGAAUUGCCUCUGAAACUGCCCAGCUCGAGGCCGGGAGAGGGUAGUGGAAUUCCCAGUGUAGCGGUGAAAUGCGUAGAGAUUGGGAGGAACACCAGUGGCGAAGGCGGCUACCUGGACCGGUGCUGACGCUGAGGCGCGAAAGAGUGGGGAGCAAACAGG